CUUGGCACGGCGCCGCGCACUCCAGCCCCUGUGUAUAGUAACCAGAGAAGCAGAGCUUUCGGCUAGACAUGGCGGCGGAUCCUAAGCCGGACUGGCUCUCCUGCCUUCCCUCUUCUUGGAGUUAUGGGGUGACUCAGGAUGGACGUAUAUUCUUCAUCAAUGAAGAAGCAAAGAGUACAACCUGGUUGCAUCCUGUUACUGGAGAAGCUGUUAUCACGGGGCACAGGAAAACUCCAGAUUUACCAACAGGAUGGGAGGAAGGAUACACAUUCGAGGGAGCUCGCUGCUUCAUCAAGUAAGCCAGUUGCUUCUUAUUUUCUGUUUUGUUUUGUAUCAUGUGACGUUAUCCUGUAUUUUUUCAUUGUAGUGGGUUUGGUGCCCAGGUCCAGGUGCUCAGACCCAGUGCAUGCUGCGAGUGAAAUUGUUGCUUUGUUGCAGAGCUGCUGCGUUGAUGUGGGUUUUUUAAGUCAAGUCACAUUUGUGUAAGAAUGAAAAGCGGUAUGCUGUGGCUGCUCCUACUGGGUGUGUAUGUGCAUGUGCGUGUGUGUGUGUGUGUGUGUGUGUGUGUGUGUGUGUGUGUGUGCUUGUGUAUGUGGGUGUGUGCGUGUGUUGGCCUUCUUCUGUAACUAAACAGGCAUUGCUCUUCUAAUAAUACAGAGAUGGACAUAAUAAAGUCAACAGGAAAAUACUGGGUUUUAAGACCAGAGAACAUGUCUGUUUUCAUCCCUAUCUACAGUACAAGUGGUUUCUCUUAAUCCUAACAGCAGGGUUAUGCUAAGGGCAUCAUGUGCAGAAAGUGCUGAAUUUCAUUCAUGUUCAGAGGUGUGACAAGCAACUUUCACUUUGUGCAGGAGAAACUGUGAUCACCCAUAAAUAUCUUCUGUUUUGGUGUGCUGCUGAUGCAGUUUGUGCAGGUGCGAAUAGUAACAUAAGAUGACUCAUUCUGCUGGUUGUGGAUAUUUGUGCUGCUUGCUUAUCACUGAGCAACAUGUUCUUGUGGUUGUAAAACGUAGGAACAGACAAUCAUUCCUUGCGAUCACUGGUCCGGUACUUUGGUGUAACGUCAGAUAUCUUGACUACUGAUUCUGGAUGGAGAGUCCUGAAUUCACACAUUCCUUGCAUCUCCAGAGGAUGAAUCAUAGUAACUUAGGAGACUUUGGUCCUCUGCCUGUUUCUUUUCUGCCACUAUGAAAAUGCUCUUGUUGGUUUUGAGUGAACGGUACUGACAACCUCUGAGUGAUUUGGCAUUAUUUUCUACACAGACAUUCCUGGUCCCUAGAGGAUGAAUCCCAAUCACUUGGUUGAUCCCUUUUUUUUAUGUAAUGAUGUAUUGUGAUGGGGAUCUCUGUGUGUGUCCUGUGUCUAAUGUUGUUCCAGAGCUGUUGUGGGUAACCCUCAGAGACAACAAAUCAUAUCAGAUUGUUACAUUAUCCCAUCAGAGAAAAGUACUGAAAAGACAAGAAGUCUGGUAUGUGCACUGCAUCCUGGUCUCCUGAAGCUACAGAGAGCUUGCUAUCUCUGCCUCGCUGACAAAAAUCUCUUCUGGCAUUAGUGUUGAACAUUAGCUCAGUUUCAAUGUUACAAAUAAACUUGUCUGUUUUAGGCUACAGUAGGGCUGGGCGAUAAAUCGAUUUUAUCGAUUAAUUUGACUUUGUACUUAAUGUCGAUUUGUUUUAAUGAAAAUCGAUUUUCUCAUCAACAUCCGCUACCAACACCUGCCUGCUGGGCUCCCGUAGUUCAGAGUGUGCGCCCCCCUCCCCCCCGUGCUUAAUACACAAACAACAUGGCGGCGAGCGGUGCAGAUCUAAAGCUGUGUGUCCACUAGAUGUGAUUUCCCCGCACGGCAACUCACCGCAUCUGAAAAUCACACGGACGGCGGUCACUACUGGACCACAACAUGGUCACAUGACAGCGCUGAGCAACAGCAGGCCGCUACGUGGUCACGUGACCGAGCUUUCAGCUGGACAGUCCGGCAGACAAGUUGGAUAAACACAGCGGCUCGGCCGCAAAUUUUCCCUUUUAUUUCAAAAAACACGUCAGCGAAAAGUAUUUCUGAAAGCAUCUAAGGCAGAAAUAAUCUGUGCAGCAGCUGAAUCUGUCCUUGUUUUAGGUCACCGAUGCCUAGUUUAGAAGUUUGAGGACAGUUUCACAAUGUGUGGAAUCUCCGCACCCCGCAUCCAAUUUGCAUAAAGUAGAAGUCAGUCUACUUUAUGCAAAUGAGCUGCAGCCCUCUCGAGGUAAACACACCGGAUAGCAGCGGGAAAUGCACCGCAACCAGACCAGCAUGCCACAUGCGGCGCAUUUCCAGCUGCGAUCCGGUGUGUUUACCUGGAGAGGGCUGCAGCUCAUUUGCAUUAAGUAGACUGGACGGAGCGGAGAUUAGGUAGGGGGUAAAAAAAAAAAUCAGAUAAAUCUUGAAUCGGGAUUUUUUAUGAAAAAAUUGGAGAUUUUUUUUUAGGCCAUAUCGCCCAACCCUAGGCUACAGGCACCAAAACCAUUUCUGUCUUCACCUGUACAAAUACCACAGUAUAUUCCCAUUAAUAUGUUAAUGCAUCAGCCAGGUCCUCUGAUGUGCACUGACGGCAUAACCUGAGAUGACACACACAGAUGUGAGAAGGAAACACCUUCCUCCUCUCUCCUCAUUGGCUGUUGUGCCUCCCGGUUCCCUGUGGAGAGACACAAGGACGAGAACAAAGACAAGGACAAGCUUAAUCUGUUUUCAAUACUGACAUCAGUUUAUUGGGAACCACUCCAGGCUGGAAAACCGUGUGUGUGUGUGUGUGUGUGUGUGUGUGUGUGUGUGUGUGUGUGUGUGUGUGUGUGUGUGUGUGUGUGUGUGUGUGUGUCUAUAGCUGGAGGAUGCCUAAAUAUGGUUUGAACAGCUUUUGUUUAGAGGUGACAUAUUGCCUUCCUGAUUCCAUCAGCAGCACGGCAAGGUCAUUCCUUCCCCUCCUGUAUGUAUGCAUGUUUAUGUGUGUCUGCAGCUGUGUGGUUGACCUUGUUACCUGUCACUAGCUACAUGUCCUCUGGUUUUUUCUCAUACAUGGUCCGGUGAUGUGGGCAUGCUUGUGUGUAAUAAACUGGUGUUUUCAGCAGGAGCUAAAAGGUUGCUUGGUACCAGCAGUUAGUUUCAAUUAACUGGGCUCAUGUUUUCAAGGCCACAUUAGGGUGAGACCACAUUUGUAGGGACAGUAACUGUGGAUCAGAAAUUUCCAGACACAAACUACAGAAGAGAGAAGGCACAAUAUUAAUGUCAUGCAAUGGAGGCAUAUAAAUGUGUGUAGAGUGAAAGAGACGAGAGUAGAUGAGAGAACUGUAGCAGCAUAACUAAGGGAUGUCAGUUUUUGAUGUAAUCCUAAAAGUAGAGAUCAAGUCUGCCUCCUGAACCCACAACAGAGGAACCUGAUAGUCCAACGGGCCUCCCGUUUUGCUCUUGGUAACACUAGGAAUCACAAAAAAGCUUCCACACUCAGAGUGAAGUGUUCUCCUGGGAAAAGAUGGUACUGCGAGGUCUUAAAGAUGAGAUGGGGCUUGGUCUUUCAGGACUUAACAUGUAAGGAGAAGGAUUUGAAAGUCUAUUCUUGAUUUACAGGGAGCCAAUGAUGAGAAGCUAAUAUGAAAAUGUGAUCCCUCUUGCUAGUUGCUGUCAGAACUCUGGCUGCAGCAUUUUGAAUUAACUGGAAGCGCUUUGAAGAGUUGACGAAAUAUAAUGAUAUAGGGAAUUACAGUCGUCCAGCUCUGAGACGAAAUGUUCCUAGUUUUGACAUUGUUGUGCAGGUGAAAGAAGGCCAUCCUAGAGACCUGUUUUGUGUUUGAACUACUAUCCAGAGUAACUAUUUGGUCCACUAGUGUGCUUCUAAGGUUUCAAAAUCCAAAUUCAGUGAGGAAAUGAGGAAAAACUGCAGGCAUCCAGGCCUUUAAGUGUUUUAGGCAUGCUUGAAGUUUAAGGAAUAGUUUCAUCUGAUCUCGCAGAUGUAAGAUGUAAGGCUAGGCGUCAUUGGCACAGGAAUGAAGGUUUGUGCAAUAUUUCUUGAUAAUGUAGCCUAGGGCAGCACAAGGAGUCAAAUGAUCAAACAGUUGUUCCAAAUUAUGUAACCAACGUCAUUUGAAGACGGAAGGGGGGAAAAAAGUACAUAAAAUAUUUCCAGUAAUCCAUCACUGCACUGGAAAAUUGUGCGACACAGUUUAUGAAUGGUUCAGACUGGCAAGAUGGUCACUGUGUCAAAUUCCAUGAUGAUCGAGUCAUAAAUUUUUGCUCUGGCUUGGCCAAAAGACAUGACUGGUUGGUCUCCAAUCAAUUAUAGCUUACUAUCUUUCACAUCCUGUAUAAUGUCAUUGUGAAGGAUGUCGUAGCGACCAGUUACCAGAAGCAAGAAUGUAAACAACUAGUGGCAUCUGAAGUCAUGUUUAUGAUUCUGGCUGCCUUGGUUUUGACAUAAAAGCCUAAGAAAACAAAGAAACAAAUGACUGUGGAUCUGUCCAUAGGUUCGCAUCAACAAAACUGGCAUGAUUUUGGAAUACUGUGUUAUCUCUGUGGGUUGUCUUUUGCUUUAUCCUGUUCUGUGUGGGAGAACACUCUGUGCUUCUGCUGGUUUAUUUCACAAAACAUGUCAAGGAAGCUGGAAAACAGUCUUUUUGUUUGGCUAUGAUACUGUACAGAAGAUGAAAUAAUCAAUCAUCAUGGCGGGCAUAUUUUUGGUUUUAACACCUGACAGGUCUGCUGUUUUUAUGUGGUCAUUUCAUUUUUAGUGAUAACACAGUGUUCCAAAAUGACAGCAAUUAUCUCAUUCCUUCUUUUCAUACCUACAGAAAUGAUUCACCUGAAUGAUUAGGCUUUGAGUCACAGCCGUGUUGAAAGUGGGAUUAACAUCAAUGUUAACGUCAACUUACUAGCUAGUGAAAUAGCUAUUUUCCUACAGCCAGUUAUGAUUGGGUGCAGCUGUCACCCCAUAAAUGGCCGGUAUCACCACACGUCUUUCCAAAAUACUGGGGCCACAAGGGACCUCCUCCACCAUGUAGUAGGCCAGAAGGCAUGCUAUCAUACAUACAAUUUGUUUGUAACAUGUAGUAAAAUUAGCGAUAGGGUGUAUUUAUAGCUAAAUUGUGAUACUUUUUAAAACCUAACUUAAUAGUUUUGAUUUAAAGUUGUGGAAAGUCUACAAAAAGUGAAUUCAAAAUAUCAAACACCAACUUAAAACACAAGUAAACACCUGAGUGAAAAACAGCAAAUGAAAAGGAAUUUUAAAAUGAGACUUAAAAAAAAAAAAAAAAAAAGAUGCUAUAUAUGGUCUGAGACAGCUGAGACUGGAACUCCAGUCUCCUGACAUAUGUCACUACUAACCCCUCCCACCUCUGAAUGUGGACCUUUGUUUCUCUUUGUGAGUGUAAAAUCACGGCUCCAGGACCAUUGAAUGGAGUGAUAAUGGCUUACAGAAGGUGGCCUUCUGUAGGCCGUUGUCCAUACUGGCCAUGCAGGUCCAUAACAGCCUGCAGAUGAGUGUGGUGAGGCUUUAUUCCUGUGUGGGAAGUCCCUACUGGAGCUUGCCAGGAUGGAGGACAGUGUCCUUGGCAAUGCCCUAGAGGGAGUCCCAGAAGAAUCAGAAGAAGAGGAGCAGCCCAGCAACUCCAAUAUUGAAAGCGCCAACACUAGCCUGUUUAUACACUUAUUGAAUAGUAUGGUAACAUCAGAUAACAUUUGCUAUGCAUGCUGAUCUAAGAUCAUGUUUAGAAACCAAACUUCUUCCUUAUUAUCAUAGUAAUUACCCAUAAUUGUCUUAAAAAUCUACUGAUUUGUGUGUAUUUGUUGAGGUCCUACCGUGUUGACAUUCAGCAUUCUGAUAGCUGUUAUUGGACUGGGGAACCACAUACUGACAGGCAGAACCAGCUCUAAAAGGCCAUCCAUGACUAGCUGUUAAAGAGCUAAUAAGAACAUGCUUGUAUUUUCCUCCCCUGCUCCUGUAGAGCUGUGACAUCCAGAGACAGGGGUAAAUACAGACCACCAGAGACCAGCCAUGAUGAAGCUGCUAAUUAGCUAAUCUGUUUUUGUUUCUCCCAGUCUCCCUCUGCCUCUCAGAGGGUGAAGUCAAGCAUGAUUAUAUUUAGGCCUGUUUGUAAGACUAGUAGUCACCUGAUGGAUGCUAGCUGCAGGGAACUGAUUACCACACACACACACACACACAUACACAUACACACACACACACACACACACACACACACACAUACACAUACACACACACACACACACAGACACACACGCACACACGCACACAGCUGACGAAAUGAAUGGACUGUGUAAUAGACUGCAAUGGGAGUAAGGAGAUAUCUGGUCAGUUACAUUCAUUUGUGUAAUUAUUCAGUGAUAAAUGAUACUGAGUUAUUACGUCUUGCCUCUAGUUUGAUCUGUUUUUCUAACUGUAAACCUGCCACACCCACUAUGCAGUAUACCAGACUGCACUCACCUUUGGGAAAAAUUUGCGUGUGCCUUUUAAGGCAGACUGUGUUAGGCUAAAAUAUUCUAGAAAACUGUAUUUAUUAGGUAUAAAACUUGUUACUAAGAGCCAGGGUUAACGGCAGGAAGGAGUCUAUUGUGAAUAAUCACAGAGAUUUUAUACUGUAUGAGGGGGAUUUUGUAGUUGGAAAAAAACGUACACUUUUGGGGGGAAAAGAGAGAUCAUUAACCAAUUCUAAGCAGGUGCAGAGUUUUACUUUCCAAAUAGAUACAGACCGUCUAGAACAAGGUGACACUGUCAUUUAUAAAGUGAUUGAUGGCACAAAGGGACAGCUGAGCCUCAUAAAAUGUAUUAUAGGUAGCAAAAGUCCUUGGGUGACAUCAAUAAUAUUCUUACUGCAAAUAUUCUGGAUAAGGAAUGAUUUAUGGCCAUGAUUUGUGACAGGACGCAGUGUUGGUCCAGACCUGCUAUUUCAGCAAUAACUGACCAAAUAACCAACAAGUUUACUGAGGACAUUCAUGAGCUAUGGAAAGUGAACUGUAAUGAGACCUUAAGAGGACCCAAGUUCUUCCACAUACCCAAGAAACAUUCUCAGGCUUGGGAAACUACGUUAAGAGAGAACCUUCAUUACCAGUGUACAGUACAUACAAUGAAUGCUGACCCAGUAGCAACCAAAGACAGCACAUCGCAUCGAUUAAAAACAGAAAAUAAUAAUAUUAAAAAGUGAAAGUGUAUGUGUUGAUAGUGAGACAAUUCAGUAACAAAAACAGUAUAAAAAACAAUUUAAAAAAUGUAACGCUUUCACUUGUACAGUCAAUAGGCAGCAAUAAACAUUGCAGUUGUGUGAGUUGUAUUAAUGAGGUCAGGUAAAAGGUUUAUAGCAUUCUGACCCCAGAAUGUCUUUUGAUUUUCAGCUGAAAACAAGGCAAAACAAUUCAUUUUAACAUGGUUGUGUAACUAUUGGUUUUAGCCCUGCUCUGAACGGGCUGUUUCAGUGUCUGUACCUUUAAAUACGGUUGAGCGGCUGGUGCCACUGUCUCCUUCAGGAAGAACACUCUCUCUGCAUCUGUGAUUGGCAGCGUGGAGAAAUACAGUUGGCCACACAGCAGUUGAUACAGACAAAUAAGUGUAUGACUACAACAUGAAGUUGCUUUUUACUUUGCGUGACCAUUUAUCAUGUAUUUACAUGCAUAUAAAUACAGGUGAUGUUUUUAGCUCAUGUGUAUGGUGAGUACAAAAUGUAAAAUCAGGGCUUUGGUGGUACAAAGUAGUACCUUGGAAAUGACUAUGAAGUGAUAUUUAGUUAACAUGUAGUCUUAAUGAGCUGUGUUUCAGUCAUUAUUUUGUACUCAUUCCAUUGUCUGACAAUAGUAACAGAAAAUGAUGUAUCUAAGAACAGCCUUAUUGGGAAUUUGGUUGUGUUAAAAUAUAGUACAUGCAAACUAAUAGAGCAGGAGAUAAGCAAACUGUUGAAAACACCCGCUGAGUUCAGGUAGAAUUAAAGAACCCACUUGAGUGAGAGGCAAAAUGUUUUCAAGAACCUAUGAGUCCAGUUGCUUUCUACUUUCUACUCUAUUUAAGUUUCAGCUUUGUUAGAAGCAUGUCAGUAUUAACUUUAAAAAUAAAAUUUUUGUCACUUCAAAUGCCUACAUCACAUGUAUCAAACUCAAGGCCUGUGGGCCAAAUCCAGCCCGCCAUGGGAUUUUAUGUGGUCAACGAAAGAUGUGUUUCUUAAUCUGAUAAAUUAAUACGAUUAAUGAUAUAAUAUAAUUAGGAAUGGGAUUUUAACAAAUUAAUUACGAUUAAUUAAUUAAUUAAUUAAUUACUGAAAAAAUAACGUGUUAAAAAAUAAUGCAUUUAAUUGUACCUUUCUCAGUUCUCUAAUUUCUGGCCCACCGGCAACACUGAUGAACACUCCAGCCCAGAAUGUGGUGGUAAUGAACUUAAAGUCUGUUUGCCAGCCGUGAUAAAGAGUGAAUCCGCAAAGAAACGUAGGACCAACAUGGCGGCCCGGUUGUAAACUUUCUCUUUUAUUACGAAAACAGUUCAGCAAGAAGUAUUUCUGAAAGCAUAUGAGGUGAGAAAUAAGUUGCUGAAUCUGUCCUCGUUUCAGUUCAACGAUGGCUAGUUUAGACGUUUAACAAAACUUUCGCAAUGCGUUGGACCUCCGCUCCCUGCGCUGCAUUUGCAAAAAUGAAGCUGCUUUAUACAAAUGGCGACGCACCAUACGUGUAGUUACAACAGUCCUGGUACUGGCUAAUGGUGCAGCCAUCCCAUAUUAAACCACUUUUCAAGACAAUGAAAGUGCUUGAGUUUUAAAAAGUCUUAAAAUGUUGAAUAUAAUUGCUGUAAUUGCACUUUGAGUUUGCGGUAAUCUGUGAAUGUAGUAGACAGAUGAAAAAUGCAGAUAAAUAUAAAUGAAACAAACAUUUUUGUUGUUUAAGUUCACAUAUAUAGCUGUUAAUCGAUUCAGGUAUCAACCAACAUUUAUUUGAAUUGAAAAUCUUUGCUUAUUGUGUCAAAUAUUGCUAUUUGGCAAAAAUGCAAUUAAUCACGGUUUAUUAAUUACAAAGCCUCUAAUUAAUUAGACAGUUUUUUUAAAAUCGCAUCCUACCAGUAAAUAAUAGGGCUGGCCCGAAUAGCAAUUUCUGGGCUCCGGAUAUUCGGCCCCGAUUAAUGAUGAAUAUAAAAAAAAAAAAAAAACGCAAAAAAAAAAAGAUGAAUAUCUGAAUAUUCGGUUUAUAUGACAUUGAUUAAAAAAAUCUGCAUUGAAAUAGAGCACUAUGUCAUCUUUGUAAAGACAGCAGUUACAUGACAUGUUUUCUAAUUCAACUUUCAGGUUAAAUGUAUUUCCAGACCAAACAUCUCAUAAUGUAAAAAAGACAGUGCUAAUAAUUUAGCAAAGCAUAUUCAUGCUCCCCCAGGGGAAGCCUUUUUGAUCUCAGUAACAUGAGACCUUCGCUCUUGUCCUAUUUUUUAAGAUUUAUUUUAGACAAUUACUCAAUGGCUAUUUCACUAACAGCUUUGAAAUCUCCUUUAAGUGUUUUUGUGAAUUGCUGCUAUAAACUGCAAUAUUCAAUACUUAGCUGUAUUGUGUUAAAAAGUUGUUCAACCCAAUAGCUGGGGCCAGGACAUGAACACAAGAUGCUCUCAUGUUCAUCCCCAAAUGAGUAGCACACCGGGAGGGCCCAGUGCAGAGACACAGACAAACUCUUCAUGGAGUUUUACAUGGUCACUGGCCAGCCCUGUGGACAAGUGAGACUAUUUUGGCCACUGACUUUCAUCAACAGUGUGGAUUAUUUGUUGCAUCCCGAUUGUAGAGUUUAAGAUUCAGUAGGUCAGAGUUGUAAAGGAUGAGCAAGAGCAAGAGUGUUCAUAAUGAUAUGGUCUAACGGUGUGUUUUUCAAACUGUGUCAGUACUUAUUAACAGGCUUGAACAAAAUGAUGUAAACUAUGUAUAAACCAAGCAGACAGUUAUUCUAGUGGAAUUCCUUCUAGAGUCUGGCUGGCAGACAGAAAGGAUUCUGUUGGCUGCUGCAAGUUUGCAUUGUUGCAGCAGAUGACUCUCUCCCCUCAGCCUAUCUUGUACACCCACGAAUGCCAACUCCCAGGAGAAGAGUAAAGAAGGAAUAAGGUUGUGGUGUUGUGAUCCGUUUUUACCUCAGUUCUGUGCAAGGUUUAUUGGGAAACAAAAAGGAGCCAUUAUCACGUUGGUGAGCCAGCCUGAAUGAAAAUGACAGUGCUGUUAUCUUGUUAGGAAAUGGAUUGCUUGUCACAAUAGACUAGAUGGUGUGGGUUUAAGGUCAGACCAAAUGUGGAGAAAUGUGGAUUAGUUAAUGGUUUAAAUCCGCAAGGUGGCUUACUUGCUCUGACCUCUUUAACUGUGAUGGCCUCACCUGUACUUGAUUUUCGAAAGGUCUCAUUGGUUUUGAUAGCGUCUACCCAGAAUGAAAGAUAUCAAGUUAAAUCAUUAUAAAGUGCUGCAAAGCUGAGUACAACGUAUGUAUUAAUUUUUCAUUUGAACAUUAGUAAAGUAGAUGUUGGAAUUAAAGACUACUUUAUGAAUUCACAAAUGCAUGAAAAAAUGAUGGUAUUUUGAUGUAUUUCUGACCUUUUUCAAAAUCUGAAAUGAACUGUGAGACCAAGUUAUUCAUGUUAAUUACUGCUCUUAAAAUAAGGACUUCAGUUAGAACUAUUAAAAUAUGUGUGACCUUUAAAAGGCUGAACAUUCAUUGUGCACCUCCUGUCAAACUGAGAUGACUGAUGGAUGAUACACCAUAGUUUUGUCACUAGUUCUUAUCCUUAGCCUUACAGAUGUCAAAAAGCAAGUGACCUGCAAGUGUGAAUGUAAUAAAAACAGAAGGUUAUUAAAGGUCACUGUGGUUGAUUCUUUUCCUAUUGAAUUGAAGAUGUGAUUACAUGUUAACACUACAACUGCAAGUAUUAGUGACAAGAUCAAACCCGUUAGAUCUAACAACGUCAUUUUACCAGUACUGCCUGUUCUGCAGCACAGUUUGUAUACUGGUAGGAUAUGAUCUUUUUUCUAUAAUUUCAUUUGUAGUUUCAAACAAUAAAAAAAAAAUUCCAAGCCUCCACCUUUAUUGAUUGUAAUGGGACUAAUUAAAUAGUAAGAGCAGCUCUUAUAACAAUAUGACACAGUUUAACACCAGCACAAAUUACAGCCUUCAAAUGAUAAUAUGAACAUCUCUCCUUACGAGUUUCAACAAAAAGGGAGCAUUAGAACUAGAGAUGUGAAAGAUUCAUUGUCAAUUAAUCAGUCCCUCCAGGAAUUUGUGAUGUUGCGAUUGCACAAAUUCACAUGAAUUCAACCAAUCUCCACGAAUUCUGCGCGACUUUCCAAUUUUGUCCAAUCACCGCAACUUUUCCGCAAUUUUGGCCAGCCUCCCGUGAGUUCCACCAAUCAUAGCAGUCCCCAGCGCAAACGUAAUGCAUGUACGUCACCGAAUUCACUUCCUUGUUUCUGGUCUGAAGAUGCAGACAUGUCCAAUUCUAAUGUCUCUCAUUUACCAACAAAAAUUACUGCUAAAGACAGUGACAAACAAUUCCCUGAUGUUCUUCACGAAAGUGGAAGUAAACUGUUUUAUACCCGUGCAAUAUUGUGGUGGAAUACAAAAAAAAAUAUCAAAAAAUCAUCGAUUGAUAAGCACUUUUCUACCACGAAACAUAUUAGGAGAAUGGCUGAAAUGAGCGGACCACAGACCAGACAAAUCACUGUGAUGGAAACUGUUGCAUCCAGAUCUGUUGGAGUGCUUGAAAGAAUGAAGGGAAGUUAGAUUAAUUAUUCCACCGAGGAACACGGCAGAGUUAUGUGACGAUUGGCAUAUGUGAAUCAUUCCUCUGUUACCAACAUUACUCAAAAAUGGACUAAGGGAUUUGGAUGAAAUUUUCAGGGAAGAUCAGAAAUGACACAAGGACCAAAUGAUUAGAUUUUGGCAGUGAUGCGGCUUAAAAUCUGGAUCCACGGAUUUGUUAAGGAUGUCCCAUUGAGAUAGCGGAACGGCAUCUGAUAGCGGCACGGUAAUCAUGGCAACAAGUGAAGAUGACCUCAGCGGCCUGCUAGGGCUGGGCGAUAAACCGAUUUUAUCGAUUAAUUCGACUUUGUACUUAAUGUCGAUUUGUUUUAAUGAAAAUCGAUUUUCUCAUCAACAUCUGCCACCAACGCCUUCCCGGCGGGCUCCCGUAGUUCAGAGUGCGCCCCCUCCCCCCCACGCUUGAUACACAACAUGGCGGCGAGCGGUGCAGAUCUAAAGGCGUGUCCACUAGAUGCUAUUUUCUGGCACGGCAACGCACUGCAUCUGAAAAUCGCAUGGACGGCGGGCGGUCACUAGCACACCACAACAUGGUCACAUGACAGCACUGAGCAACAGCAGGCCGCUAAGUGGUCACAUGACCGAGUUUUCAGCUGGACAGUCUGGCAGACGAGUCGGAUAAACACAGCGGCUUGGCCGCAAACUUUCCCUUUUAUUUCAAAAACAUGUCAGCGAAAAGUAUUUCUGAAAGCAUUUGCGGCGAGAAAUAAACUGUGCAGCAGCUGAAUCUGUCCUCGUUUUAGGUCACUGACGCCUAGUUUAGAAGUUUGAGGACAGUUUCACGAUGUGUGGAAUCUCCGCAUGCGGCAUCCAAUUUGCAUAAAGUAGAAGUCCAGUCUACCCUCUCUGGGUAAACACACCGGAUUGCAGCGGGAAACGCACCGCAACCGGACCAGCAUGCCACAUGCGGCGCAUUUCCAGCUGCGAUCCGGUGUGUUUACCUGGAGAGGGCCGCAGCUCAUUUGCAUAAAGUAGACUGGACUCCAGCGUGCCGAGAUUAGGUAGGGGGUAAAAGAAAUCAGAUAAAUCGUGAAUCGGGAUUUUUUGUGAAAAAAUCGGAGAUAUUUUUUAGGCCAUAUCGCCCAGCCCUACGGCCUGCUGACGAUCACGAUAGCGAUCCUACUACAAAUCCACUACUGUGGGCGUAUCGGAAAUGAAAUGAUACAAGGAACAAUUGAUUAAAUUGUGGGAGUGUUUCUGAGUCCCAUCAAAUCCCGCCACCCACUACAUAUUUGCGUCAUGCGAUUCGGUAUGUACACAACAGCUACGGGUAAAUAUGGCAGAAAGUCAUCAAACACACUACACUUCACGCUCACGGUCCUCACAACAUAACACUUAAGGAAACUAAGUAGGCUGCCUAAACUACAAAAACACAAUAGAACACAAAUACUAAUAACACUGGAACUGUCACGGCCUGACCUGGCUCCUCUUCCUGCUGUUUUCUCCUGUUCUCUCUCUCCGGCUGUGUCUCUCACCCUCCCUCUCUCCUUCUCUCUUCUUUGCUUCUCUCCUUCUUUCCUCUCCCUCUCCUUUCUUUCUCAACUCCUUCACUGUGUCUGUCCUCCCUGAUCGUUCUCUGUCCCGCUCUGGUCCUUCCCUCGCUACUUCUUCUGUCCCCCGUCUGUCAGUGGUUCUCUCGUCUGGUACCUUCCUCCUCCUUGCGCUCCAUCGCAGCUGCGGAUGAUUAUUCAUCAGCUGUGGAUAAAGUCGGGCUCGUCCUUCCCCUCACUGCCAGAUCAUAGCACCAGCUACGCCAGCGUUUCCCGCUGGUCUGCUCCAUUCUCUGUCUGCCUGCCAGCCAGCCUGACUGCCGCCAGUCCCUGGCUCUCCGACCACACUAGCAGCUUCUGCCCGCCUGCCUGCCUGUCAUUUGAGCCGCCGCUGGCUCAUCCCCCGGAACCCAGCCUGCUUGUGCCACCUUUCCCCGGCCUCAGUCGCCGACCUCUGCUGCACGUGAGCAGUGCCGGUUUGCGUCCUGUGGACUGCCGGUUUCCGCGAGCCUGCCAGCCCCCUCUCCCUCAGUGAACAUUCCGGUUUUCCUGUGAGUACUGUCUGGACUGAGGUUAAUUUAGUUUGAGUUUUGCCUGCUUGGUUGGACCUUAUGGGUUUUUUCUGUAUAAUAAACACGCUUUGUUUGAAACCAGUUCACUGUCUGUGCCUGCUCUGUGUGCUCUCCCUUUGGGUUCAUUUCCCCCGCAAACCGUGACAGGAACACUAACAAAAAGCACAAUAAUGACAUUUAAACCCCUAACACCGCGAACUCCCAUGGUGCAUUGCAGCACAGUAGUUCAGUCAUAGCUACUUGCUCUGCUAUUGCUGCAUUAUUUUAAUAAUUUUUGCGGUAAAAUAAGCAUUUUCUAGCCAAAAAAUUUAAGACAAUAUAAAAAAUAUGUUUUAAAAAGUAAACAUAUUAAAAGAAUAUUUAAUGGAAAUAAAAUGUGUAGCGUACAACACUGGGCUCCGAUUGGCUCAGCGAUCGUAGCAUCAGUCUCUUCUGUCUGCUCCUGUGUGUAGCGUGUAUGGUAUAGCGGCAUUCAGUAUCUGGCCCUGUCUGUUUCACACAGACAUCUGAUCGCUGAGCAUAGUGUUGCUGUGCGAUGAUGUGCAGUGUGUGGGGAGGAUUUAUAAAGCCUUAAAAUAUAUAUCAAGAAGAAAGGCACUCAGAGAGCGCAAUACCCCGCCAAGACUGUUCAUUCUGUGCGUGAAUUGCCUGGCUUAAAUAUGUAGCAGGCGGCAGGAAUUGAUUGGACUCAGAAACACCCCCACAAUUUAAUCAAUCAAUUGUUCCUUGUAUCAGUUCCGAGAAGUUGGCAUUGGUGGAUUUGUAAUAGGAUCACAUGAUCGUCAGUAGAGAACUGACACAGCGCUCACUUGUUGUCGUGGUUACAGUGACGCCUUGCCGAACGCUAUAUCUCGCAAUGGGAAUACUUAACAAAUCUGUGGAUCCAGACUAUAAGCCGCAUCACUGCCAAAAUCUAAUCACUUGGUCCCUGUGCCAUUUCUGACCUUCCCUGAAAAUUUCAUCCAAAUCCUUUGGUCCGUUUUGAGUAAUGUUGUACAGGACAGACAGAUUCACAGAGACACGUACACUCAUCGUGACAUAACUCCACUGCGUUCCUUGGAGUAAUAAUAAAAUAAAUAUUGUAGCAUCGGAUUUGUAUAUGAUUGUGUUCGUUUGCAUUUACUUUAUUUUAUUUAUUAUUUUAGUGUUUAUUUAUGUUGUGCCUUGAAUCUUAAUUCGUUGACUAUUUGGUCAGAUAUUUUAUUGUUUUGUGUUUGCUUAUUGCCAUGCUCGGUGUCCCAGAUGUUGGUUCCACAUCCUUAUUGUUUUUGGUACAGUUGAUUUAAUUGUGGUACAGCGGGAGAGUCGGUAAGAGCGCGUAUGUGUUUGUUGUGCUAAGCAGUGAAUAAAACCUGCAGAAAACUGUCCUAUCAUGCUGGGGAUGUUUAGCAUGGAAGACAGCAAAACACAUAAAGAGCAUAAAAACGCAAAAUAACUGUAACCAGUCUGACCUACAGCCCUGGAGAUGGGUGAGUGGACCAAUAUUUAAGGGUUACAAUAUGGUCGCUACUUCGCGGAUUUUCGUCUAUCGCGGGAGUGUCUGGAAAGUAACCCCUGUGAUAGACGAGGGACCACUGUACUGGGGUUGACUGACACAACCCCCUUUUCGAUAGAGCUGGUUCCAGUUCGAGUUUGCAGCCAGUGCCUUACUUAUCACCGGUUCUUUGUGUUUCCAUCAGCUGAACACUGUCUCCAGGCUCCAAAAACUGGUGCUUUUCUAGGCCAGAGUUGAGAACGGGCUGGGGGCAGGAUACGGUAACCGAUGAUCAACGGUGAAACCACAGAACCGGUAAAUAUAGACGCCAAAUCCAAGCAGCAGCGGUCUGAGGAGGAGACCCAAUGCUUCCUAGCAUUGUGUCUUCAUAUGAAAUUCAGUCUAAGUUAGAGGGAGCCUCUUGGACCACGCUGGUAUUCGAAAUGAUCCAGCGGGAGAUGGCUGCAGCCGGUACAAGCGGAGCCUUGACUCCUCAACAAACUUAAAAAGCUCAAAAAUGACUACACGGACCAGAAAAGGGAGCAGGGACGCAGCAGUUGUUGGCCAAAAAGAGCCCCCAUUUUGACCGGCUGCAUUCCGUGAUUUCCAACUGGGGCCCUGAACGCCACAGCCAUGCUGGAAUUGAUGCAGGCGGCCGUACAGACCACCGAUCCUGAUCCUGGUAAGUUUUAUUUCUCAAACACCCUGUCUAUUAUGAAUGCGCCAGCUACAAUAGUCCCACAUCAAUAUUGUGAACGUUACGCCAGCUAACGUGGUCCGGACACAGGAUCAGUGAUCAGAGGUUGACUAUUGUUUGCUAACCAGUUGGCCAUUGCUAAGCUAACAAGCUAUGAAACAAUGUGUUAUAAAACCUGAGAAAAGCAGCAGCAAUACUUCAUUACAAGACCUGUAUUCAAAACCUCCCAUGUUGUGACACAGUGGCCCAUUUAAUCAUAUUACCAAACUAUACGGUAAUCAUUUAAAUUUCCCUUGAAGAACCAAUAAACUAUUUAACAUUAUCAUUAAUGCGAGUCUAAAACUGAUUAAAAUGAUCAAAUUAACACAAUGAAGUAAAGAAUACUGGUAAUGUGCAGCUAUUUUUAUAAUUUCAAGGGAAAAUGCUGCAGUUCUGUGAUUUUCCAGCUUUGCAAUUGUUGAAAUUCAAUGCAUUCAUUUCGUAUACACAGAUUUCUUUGGUGAUUUUUAGUUGUUGCUCAAAUAAAACAAGGCACUUAGCACUGUUGGAAAUUAUUUCAGGUAUUUUUGUAACAUUUUAUAACAUUGUACGGACAAAUGAAUAAUUAAUAAUGGAGAAAAUGGUUUUAAAUUACAGAUGCUAUCAACAUUUCUUCUUCAAUUUAUUUAGUUGUCGGCAUUGGAUGAUGAGGUCCAGUUACCACAAUCACUACUCUGCAGCUCACUGGUUCCGUCCUGCAGCUCCUCCUCUCAACAGACCAAAUCAAGAAAAAGAAAGCAGGAUGCUAAUGUGGAUCUGCUGCAGUAUCUGGAGAGGUCAGAGGAACAGUUCUUGGAACAGAUCAGAAGAGACCAAGACCUGACCACUGCCAUGAUCCAGAACAUCCAGAUGAUGGAUGGAAAUUCAGACAACUUGUUUGGACUGAUGGGACACAUGGUGUUGGUGCUGGAGCAACAGUCCCAGAAAUAAACUGCAUUGUCCACUACUUCUGCCUUUUCUAGAAAAAAAAAUCUUUUUUUGUAAAUUCUUUUCCUUCUUAGCUAUUUAAGUUCACUUGUAUUUUUACUCUUGCACUUUGGGUGAAUAAAAAUAUAUUUGUGAUUAAAGAUGCAAGUUUGGUCUAUAAUCUACAGAGACUUUAUUCAGUGUUCAGUGCACACUUCUGUUACACACAUUUUGACAGAUACUCAGUUGUGCUUUUCAAGCAGAUUUCAGUCUGAAACAUAUCAGCAACAUAUGUUGUUUUUUUUUACUGUCACACCAAGGUGCACCAAUGUUGCGGAAUAGCUAUGCAUGCAGUGACGUCCUGACGUUUUACGGUGACGCAAUGACGUGGCUCCAACUUGGCUCCUUGCCAAUGGAAAAACAACCCGGUUCUGAGGAGGCACGAGAUUUGAAAAAAAAAACAAAAGCACCGGCACUUAACUAGAACCAAACUAGCACCUGGUUCUCUUUGGUCAAAAAGAAGCUACAGAGUUGGUGAUUGGUCCUCCUGGGUUUCGUCAUUAUGUUCUGUCGAUGUGUUCUAUAAAAUGUAGAACAGAAAAUGCCACUAAUAUGCCUUCUUGAGUUUUUCUCUUUACAAUCUAAAACAAUAAAGAAAUCUACUUGAACAAUCAAACUCGUAAACUGAUUACAAUUCACCUACAGGUCCAUAAUGUUCAAAUCAUUCCAGUGUGAUUAGGUACUAAUGAAACUGAUUAAAUGGAGAGACAGUGCUCAUUUGGUACACUUGUAAUUAAUUAAUUCCAAUUAAAUGCUAAUGUAACAUAGAAAGGCAAGCUGAAAUUUGUCCAGAGGCAAGAAACCAGUUGAGUACACCAUAUAUUUAGUUUAAGAUUGAAGUUUCCAGCAUUAAACAAAUCAAUAAUAUUUACUUUGAUUUUUAUACAAGGACUUUUUCCUUGACAUUCUCAUGAAAUUACAUGGCCCUUUCAAGGUAGCUUCCUAAGAUCAGAAUCAGUAAGGCAGUUGACAAAAAGUCAACAACUCAGAAGGCUACAUUUCCUCAAUCAUAAAGAGUAUGAUUCUUUCUGAAUGUCCAAGGCUGAAAUCUAUGCAGGUUGGUGGCAACAGUCUUUAUGUUGGUUUGUCUAGUCUCUGUAGUUUUCAGCUGGCUUUCUGGUUUAGCUUUACUUAGUCUAUCGGUUCAAGGAUAAGUCUUGGAUUGCAUGUGCCAAAGCCUGGGAUAUCUUAUUCCUGUGUGUUAGAGCUCCACUGUUAUCCAAAAACUGUUAGAACACCCUGAGCAGCACUGUAGCACUGGCUGACAUAUCACCAUGACCACACACUAUAGUUUAUUUUGAUGUGCAAACACCACCCUGCUGCCACAAAUAUACACUAUAGCACCAGAUGUUCCUGUCUUAAAGGUGUGCCUCAUAUUUUGCUCACUCCAUUACUUUACAUCCAGGGGGAAGUAUAUUAGGAAAAUGUAGUGCAGAGCAGUACACCAUCACCUCCCACUGAAGCCUCAAUAGUAAACAUCAAGUAGAAUCAUCACUUAACAGUGCUGGGUGAUUUUCAGUUUUAAUUAACACUGUCAGGGCAAAGUGGCGUAUUGAGAGAUUACAUUUGGUUUAUGGUCGUGUGCCCUUUCUGCAUCUCACAGUGCUGCACAUUUUAAUUCUUGCUGUGUGUAUUUUUAAUGCUCACAAAUGGCAGUAAAGCACCUUCCUUGGCUUGUGUGAAAUAUCGUGUCCAGUGAACCUUGUAUCACCUCUCUAAUAAGACCUGCAGCAGCUUAUAGUUGCAUAGAACGUUUGACUUUGCAGUGUGCCAGUUUUCCUUUUUUAAAUUCCCAUCUCUCCUUUAUGUCAUUGCAUUUCCAUCCUCUCCUCACACCGUCCUACAUUAUUCCUCCUCAGCUGAGUUUAAAGAUGUAGAUGGCCUAAAGGAACAAUUUGUCUCUCUCAGUAUCUAAAGUGACAUCAUGUUUCUCCCAGCAUGACCGUGUACUUGUGAGGUCCCUGCAAGCAUCCUGGGUUGCAUGUGAGCCACAGACAAGUUGUAAGGUGAUGACACCAGCUGCUGUGCUGUGGCGAAGCUCACUGCAGUGAUAAAGUGUCUGUUACGGCUGAAGUGCAGGAAAUAAGAUUCAGAAAACAAAAGCAGUUUAAAGGUAUUUAUUUACAAUACCAAGCUAAAGACAAAACAAUACCAAAAUCAGAAUACUGAAACCAGAAACUAAGGUGUAUCCGCAAAGCAGACGGCACUAGAAACCCUCUAGAGGUAAGGCAGACUAACUACACGAACUAGAAAAACAAAACAAAAAAAAAAAAAAAAAAAAAAAAACAA